rnacentral:rRNA from 1 species
AUACGUAGGGUGCGAGCGUUGUCCGGAAUUACUGGGCGUAAAGAGCUCGUAGGUGGUUUGUCGCGUCGUCUGUGAAAUUCCGGGGCUAAACUCCGGGCGUGCAGGCGAUACGGGCAUAACUUGAGUACUGUAGGGGAGACUGGAAUUCCUGGGGAAGCGGUGAAAUGCGCAGAUAUCAGGAGAAACACCGGUGGCGAAGGCGGGGCUCUGGGCAGUAACUGGCGCUGAGGAGCGAAAGCAUGGGUAGCGAACAGGAUUAGAUACCCUGGUAGUCCAUGCCGUAAACGGUGGGCGCUAGGUGUGGGGGUCUUCCACGACUUCUGUGCCGUAGCUAACGCAUUAAGCGCCCCGCCUGGGGAGUACGGCCGCAAGGCUAAAACUCAAAGGAAUUGACGGGG